rnacentral:lncRNA from 1 species
CCCAGGGUUGUCCAGGGAACAGCGUUGCCGGAGGCCUAUGGGAGGCAGCGGGGACGUGCACGGCCGUGUGAAGCAGGGCGAUGGCCUGAAGGACCAACCGGGAGUCCCGAAAAGCUGACCGUGGGUGAGGUUGUUGAGCAGAGCAGAGCCCCUGCCCUCGGCUGACUUCCGCCAAGGGUUGUGUGACGGGCCCGUUGGCUUUCGUUGCAGACGAUUGAGCAAGAUACGGCUGGGUGAGUUUGCAGAUCUGAUUGGCCUUAUUCGGCGGUUCCCGAGCGGGACAGCGUCCUAUCCCGCCAGUGGCAAGGAGCUCUGAGGCGCUGUAGAAAACGGGAGGCUCUCGUAGACCUAAGUGGGCCAGAAAAAGGAAGUUUCUAGCAAAGGGUGGCUUCUUUUCAAGCGAGGUCACCUUCCUCUAGCGAGAGACAGGCGUCUGUCAGCCAGAUAACCUCACUAGUGCUAACCAGGUAGCUCUAGAUGACUAGUUAAAUUAGGUCUCGUUCCCGGGAGGGGCUGAAACCGCAGUUAGCUUAGGUAUGAAGCCUUGGAUCGCUGACAAAGGUUUAGCACAAGUGACUCCCAUUUGGGGCCUUUUGUUCUUUUUUUAACGUUGCUGAAACUUUACAACAGCAGUGUCCGUAGUGUACUUGAGGCCUGUAGUCGGGGACAGACUGCUGAGGCCUCACGGCCUGGAAGUGGAGGAGCCAAGGCUGAACCUAGACAUCAGCCCGACCAACCUGCAGACCCUCAACCAGGUGGCUUUUGCACCCUGAGAAGUGAGCCAACGGGACCACCCUCUCUCCGUGCCCUUGGGAGUCACCCAAACCUUGAGGACGCUCCCUUUUGUCACUGCUGUUCGCUCAAGAUACUGGUGACCCUGGAGGGCGGGGCCGGGUGCUUCCCAGUCUCCCCUCCUGACUGGGGCAGAACUGGCUGGCGUCUCGAGCCUGUUACACGAGGGACAGGAGGGCCUCAGGCAGAGCCGGGAAGAAGAGAAGCAGUGGGAGGGAGGGGCCUGGAAGCCGGAACUGGAAGGAGGGCGGGAGAAAUGUGCCAGGACCCCAGGAGAACCACCCGCAGCUUGAUCCAUUCGGUUCAACAAGAAUCCGUCAAACACCCGCUCGCUCCAGGCGCUGAGGAUCUAGCAUUAAACAGAAGAGGUAGACAUCCUCGCCCUCCUCGAACUUCCCUUCCAGUGCAGGAGGGAGACCAUAAACAGAGUAAACGUUCACACCGUGUUCGAAGUGAUGCAGGCUACUGGGAAAAACCAAAACUGAGAAAGGGUCUAAGAGGUGGGGACAACUUUACGCAAGGGGCAGGGUAGGCCUUACUGAGAAGGUGACUUGGAAGGCAGUGAGGGAAGAGCUUCCAGGCAGACGGCGCAGUGCGUGCAAGGGACCCGCGGUGGGAGGGAACCUGCAGCGGAGUGUGGCUUUGAGGAGUAGGCAGGCAUCAGAGAGGUAACAGGUGGCCACAGAAAGGGCUUGGAAUUUUAACUGAGAUGAGGCCGUGGAAGGGUUUUAAGACAGGCUCCGCCCCCACAUGAGCUUCUUUGCUGUUCUUGCCAGCUUCCCUCCAGAGGCAGGAAGGCAUUAUGCCUUCUGUCCCCAAAACCACAUUGGCGUCUCUGUCAUCUUUGCCCAGGACGGGCAGCAACCCUGUUCUUCCACUUGGUUCUCCUGUCCCUGACCCCCACUCUAGGCUGUGGAAUCUUCAUGGGGAAAACCUGGCCCUGACCAGUCUGUCUCCCUCUGCAUCGUUCAUUGCCCAGGUAUCUGAGCUCCGAGGCUGCCACACAGGGUGUGCACAUGCUAAGGUAGCCGGUGGGAGCGAAAGCGCCACACGGUGUGUCCUAACACCCAGAGCUGGGCUCUCAGAGGGUCAGCAAUGAUGUGGGAGGCCUAUGCAGCACCUCCAGGAGGGGGUCGGCUUUCGUCCUGGGGACCCCACCUGUCACUUGUGUCCCCAGCCUUGAAGUGGGACUAUAUUUCCAUCAUUAGCCCCAGUGUCCAGAAAAUUGGGCGUUCCCAGGUCUCAAAAAGCUUGUGGUCUGGGAUGGAGCACCUGGGUGGCUCAGUCAGUGAAGCAUCCCGACUCGGUUUUGGCUCAGGUCAUGAUCUCAUGGUUUCAUGAGUUCAAGUCCCGCAUCAGGCUCUGCACUGACAGUGCAGAGCGUGUUUGGAAUUCUCCCUCUCUCCCUCUCUUUCUUUCUGCCCCUUCCCCUGCUCAUGCUGCCUCUGUCUCUCAGAAUAAGUCAACGAACCUUAAAAAAGAAAACAAAGCUUGUGGUCUGGGAGCAUAAUUAAGGCGCUGGAACCAUGGGCCCAGAGGUACAGUGUUCACAGCACAGGGAGGGCCUGCAGCUGUGCAGACUGUGUGGCCACUUCUCGCAGCCUUUCCCCGACUCCCACAGCCACCCACCAGCAGCAUCAGGAUGUCUGGUCCCCAAGAGGAGGGGCUCACUGGCAGAUUCGGUCAUCACAGUAUCCCUUGCCUGACUGUCUCUUUUAUUUUCAAGUCAGGUGCUUUAACAAGAGUAUCUGGGAAACACAGUGGGAGCAUUUUUAUUUUAUUUGUUUACUUUUUAAAGUAAGGCUCCACACCCAACAUGGGGCUCGAGCUCAUGACCCUGAGAUCAAGAGUCGGAUGCUGUACCGACCUAGCCAGCCAGGUGCCCCGAUACGUUAUUAUUUACUAAAGCCCAUAAUUCGGAUUUUCUUAGUUUUUCUUGGUGUCCUUUUUUGGUGCCAGGAUCCCAUCAAGGGCACCGCAUCACAUGAAGUUGUGCGCCUCACUUUCUUCUGAAGGUGCAGUAUUGAGAGGAGGCUAAAGCAGCACAAAACUGCCGACCUUUUCCUCGGCUUUAAGUCUGGGUAAACGCUAGGGCUGGGGCUGCAUUUGGGUUUUGGUGUUCUGCCUGACAGGUGUCAGCUGAGUGGGGCUCUUGGGUCCUUUGCAAAAGGAAGGGCACUGAGGAGAAGCCCCACACCCCAGACUGUCCCCUCUCAGAACCACCCCUCGGGCUGGGGGUGAUGGGGAGUUAUGGUUUAAUGGGUUGCAGAUUUCUGUUUGGGAUGAUGGAGACAUUCUGGACAUGGAUGGUGGUGAGUGAGGGCUGCACAAAUUUACAGAUUUCCUUAGUGCCCCUGAUUGCACACUUAAAAAUGGUUCACAUGGUAAGUUUUAUGUAUUUUCACCACAAUUGGUUUUAUGUCUUUUUAACGUUUAUUUGAGAGAGCGUGUGUGCAUGCACAGGGGAGGGGCAGAGAAAGAGGAAGAGUGAGAAUCCCAAGCAGGUUCUGGGCUGUCCGUGAAGAGCCCAGUGCGGGGCUUGAUCCCACGACCAAGAUCACGACCUGAGCCAGUAUCAAGAGGCGGACGCUUAAGCCACCGAGCCACCCAGGCGCCCCCACGAUUUGUUUUAAAGCUGAAGAAACGAAGAUGCAAUUUAAACAAGACUUCUCCUUGCUUUUCGGUAAAGGAAGCCUGUGUCUUUCACCACAGAAUGAAGCUGUCCCUUGAAGGCCUUCUGUUCCCCAAGUCGGCUUCCUCCACAGACCUGGGACCUGCCAUCGGUGCGGAUGGGGCUCGGGCACCGUCACCUUUACUGUUACCACUAAUGGCGGCAGUAGGACAGCCUGUGAUUGAUCACUCCCUGUGCCGGCAGCCUUGCCACUUGACCUCACACAGCCCCAGGGGCGGUUCUGCUCACGGGCCUCAUUUACGGAAGGCCACGUCAGCACAGAGGUUAAGGGACCCACCCGCGGUCACACAGCUGGUGGCAGCAGUGGCAGGAUGCUGCGUGAGCCGGGCCUUUCUCGCCACCCACUGCGGGGCCAGUGAGGCAGCCCAAACUGCAAAGCCAUCCUCCUAGCCGACGUGUCCUUCGACAGGCCGGGGGCAUGGGGGAGGGGGGCGGAGUGAGGCUGGUGUGUGGCUGCAGAAUACUCCCUCUGGUCAAAACAAGGACUGGCAAGAGGGACUGGCCGCCUUCCGUAAAAGCAAAACAAACGACGGGGAGCCUGGGUGGCUCAGUCAAUUGAGCUUCCGACGUCGGCUCAGGUCGUGAUCUCAAGGUUUGGCCCAGAGCCUGGAGCCUGCUUCGAUUCUGUGACUCCCUCUCUCUGCCCCUCCCCCAUUGCACUGGCUCUCUCAAAAAUAAACAAACAUUUUAAAAAACCCUGCGAUAACAGCCCUGUUUAUCAAACACGUGGCUCCCGUUCUAGAUAGUGCUCUCCAAGUAUCCC